rnacentral:misc_RNA from 1 species
AAGUCGUAACAAGGUUUCCGUAGGUGAACCUGCGGAAGGAUCAUUAAAAAUUUACCAUUUCAUAUGGAAAAUUAAAUCCAUAUCCACCUUGUGUGCAUUGUUAAAUGUUUGCUUUGGAAGUGUUAAAAGUUAUCAAAGAUUGUUUUCUUUGACCAACUGAGGAGUAGAUUUUUUCUUUUGUAAAAAUCUUUCCUACCUUCCGAAGUUUUUAUAUUUAAAUACUUUAUAAAAUUUAGACUGAAAUUUUAUUAAUAAAUAAUUUAAUACAA